CUGGUCCACGUAACGAAGCCCAAAGUAAUCCGUCUCGAUGAUGUUGAGUUGUUUGCACACAUACUCGAGUAUGUACCUUCCUUUGUGCUGGGGCUGGAAAAAAUAAAAAUAAAAUGAAAAGAAAAAAAGGAGUACGUGGGAAAUGAAAUUAAGAGGCGUAAAAUUGCAAGCUUCAGGUGCGGAGGGAGAUGCAGAAAAUAAGGGACCUUUAAAAUCGAUACGAUUCAAAUGCAUUUCAAAUGCAAAAAAAUCGAUUGUAUUCAACUCUGCUUUUGCUCCUAGAAAAAAGAAUGAGAAAUCAAGAGAGAAUUUCCGCAAGAGCACUCCAGAAAUAGUAAACUUCAGCGAGAUGUAUCGUACGACAUUCAGUGAUACUGGUGAAAAGGGGUGCCUUUUUUCACUUGUAUCAUAACAAAACUUUAAUAAAUAAAAACCCACGAAGGAAUGAAUUUCCUUCCCCAACCGCUGCCGACAAAAAAGCCACUUCAAAUGCGAGUAAGUAGAUUAACACGCCUGGAAAACAUGGAAAAUCUAAAAAUUACAUUCCAGACGAAUUAUUGUGAAUAAAAACGAGUCUCUAUAAUCCCAAGGACGCGGAAGCACACACAUUGCGGAGGAAAUUAAAUGAUCCCGGGUCACAGCGUGACCGUGUACUCCGCCUUUUCAUCUUUAAUCACUCUAAUCACUCCAGGAAAACACUCGCUUAUUCAACAUGAAAAAAGUGUCAUUAAAAGAAGCGAAACGGCUUGAAAAAAAGGAAACGAUGAAAAAUAAACCCCGAGGCGUGUUUGUAACUCUUCAACAUUCAUAAAUUUUCCUUUUUUCGUAUCAGAGCCUGUCUCUCUUUCAAUACGUGACUGCACGCCACUUCCGUCUGCCGAUAAAAAUGCAGACGAGUGUG